CAAGUCAUGGGGGCCCAGCAAUGGGCAACCGGCGAACGGGUGCGUAACACGUGAGCAACCUACCCAGGUGUGGGGGAUAGCCGUCCCAACGGACGGGUAAUACCGCAUACGCUCAACACGAGGCAUUUCGAGUUGAGGAAACCUUCGGGGCACCAUGAGGGGCUCGCGGCCUAUCAGCUAGUUGGCGAGGUAACGGCUCACCAAGGCUACGACGGGUAGCUGGUCUGAGAGGAUGACCAGCCACAUUGGGACUGAGAAACGGCCCAGACUCCUACGGGAGGCAGCAGUGGGGAAUCUUGCGCAAUGGCCUAACGGCUGACGCAGCGACGCCGCGUGAGGGAUGACGCUCUUCGGAGUGUAAACCUCUUUUGCCUGGAACGAACUGUCAGCUUCAGCUGACUUGACGGUACCGGGUGAAUAAGCACCGGCUAACUCCGUGCCAGCAGCCGCGGUAAUACGGGGGGUGCGAGCGUUGUCCGGAAUCACUGGGCGUAAAGGGCGCGUAGGUGGCGUGAUAAGGGUGUGGUGAAAGCCCGGGGCUCAACCCCGGGUCUGCCAUGCCGACUGUCAGGCUAGAGUACUGUAGGGGCAGGCGGAAUUCCGGGUGUAGCGGUGGAAUGCGUAGAGAUCCGGAGGAAGACCGGUGGCGAAGGCGGCCUGCUGGGCAGUUACUGACACUGAGGCGCGACAGCGUGGGGAGCAAACAGGAUUAGAUACCCUGGUAGUCCACGCCGUAAACGAUGGGUACUAGGUGCCUGGGGGAGCGACCCCUUGGGUGCCGGCGCUAACGCAGGAAGUA
rnacentral:rRNA from 1 species